UACGAAGGGGGCUAGCGUUGCUCGGAAUCACUGGGCGUAAAGGGCGCGUAGGCGGCCAUUCAAGUCGGAGGUGAAAGCCCAGGGCUCAACUCUGGAAUUGCCUUCGAUACUGUCUGGCUAGAGACCGGAAGAGGUAAGUGGAACUGCGAGUGUAGAGGUGAAAUUCGUAGAUAUUCGCAAGAACACCAGUGGCGAAGGCGGCUCACUGGCCCGAUACUGACGCUGAGGCACGAAAGCGUGGGGAGCAAACAGG
rnacentral:rRNA from 1 species